AUGAACCUUUGAGGGUUGAGCUGGCAAUUUAAUUUGCAUGUGCUUACCUUCUUAUCCUUUUAUAACACCUGUGCACUUUUUGAAGGGGAAUAGUAGGUGAUGCAAAUCAUCGAGAUCCCCCCUUCGAACUCACAUACACUUUAUUUAUUAUCGAAUGUUUAAACGCUUAACAGCAUUAAAAUA
rnacentral:misc_RNA from 1 species